GGAUGCGAUCAUACCAGCACUAAAGCACCGCGGAUCCCAUCAGAACUCCGAAGUUAAGCGUGCUUGGGCGAGAGUAGUACUAGGAUGGGUGACCUCCUGGGAAGUCCUCGUGUUGCAUC
rnacentral:rRNA from 1 species